rnacentral:misc_RNA from 1 species
UUGAAUAACUUGGUGUUGAGCUGGCCCUAUUGGGCAUGUGCUUGCAUCAUAUUAUUUAUCUAUCUCUUGUGCACCUUUUGUAGUCUUUGAAGUGUUCGCAGUCAAUGCGGUUAUCAUAUCAACUUCAAACUACGUUUACUAGAAUGUAUACCGUCUUGUUGUAACGACAAGUACAAUCCAAUA